rnacentral:rRNA from 1 species
UACGUAGGGGGCAAGCGUUGUUCGGAAUUACUGGGCGUAAAGGGCGCGUAGGUGGCCUUUUGAGUCAGACGUGAAAUCCCCCGGCUUAACCUGGGAACUGCGUCUGAUACUGGAAGGCUUGAGUUCGGGAGAGGGAUGUGGAAUUCCAGGUGUAGCGGUGAAAUGCGUAGAUAUCGGAAGGAACAUCAGUGGCGAAAGCGACUUCCUGGACCAAUACUGACGCUCAUGUGCGAAAGCGUGGGGAGCAAACAGG